rnacentral:tRNA from 1 species
UGUCCUAUGGUGUAAUGGUAACACAUCAGAUUCUGGAUCUGACAUUCUAGGUUCGAGCCCUAGUGGGACAAC